UGGGCAUUUUAUUCAUGAAAUCGUAGAAUAGAUUAUUGAAUUUGUUAUUAAUACCACAUCAACAUGUGCAAGCUUGCUACUAUACUGACACGACAAUGUUAUCUGUGUAUAUUUUAGUAUUUGAGUAUAUCUACGUUUCUGUGGAUUGCAGCUGGAAUCCCCUGACACACACUUGGGCAGUACAAUUUUGCGGUUGUCUGGAAAUCUGCCCAUGUUUCUGCCUCCCGUUUUGCAGCACAGAUACGAGGCACUUGGCUGGAGGAUAUUUAUCUUCUGCAGACGUCUAAAAAGAGAAAUGCUCGUCCAGAGCUUUCUGUUUUUCUCCUAAACACACUGGCAUCCUUGGCCAAGCCAGGGCACUGAUGUGCUGCCGGCCCGUCCUGGCGGAGGACGAGCAGGUCAUUCUCCUGCUCGGGACAGACGGGGGGCCAUCUCCUUUUGCCAGGCCCUGGUUUUCUUGCAGCUUGAAGGAACUUCCUUCUCUGAAGAAAUCAAACUCCCAAACAUCCACCAACAAGUUACACAAGCAGACAAAGGGACGGCAAAGCACAGAUAAACGAGGUGCAGGCACUUGGGAAAGCACGUUUCCCUUACCUGCAGGGAAAGAAUGGGCUCCAGGGACACCUGGAGGAGCCCUUCCAGGUUCCCCUGGGCUCUCAGGACCACCUAGCGCUUGGUCCUGCCACAGAGCACCCUGGAUUUGGCCCCGCUGGUUUAGGAGGCAGGAGGUGCCCUUAGACACCUGCAGAGCCCGGAGCAUCGCCCACCUCUGGGAGAAGAUAAGGAUUGCAGUCAGGCUCAGCUGCCCACAUGCCUCCACAGGGAGAAGGGAAGAAGGGAGAGAUUGGGAGCGUGAGAUGGACUUUCAUUUUUGCACCAAGAAAUCAUCAGCACUCACAGACAGACCAAAGGCUCACGGAUGCCCCCAAAACAUCAGGAUACAAUUCUGCAUGCCGGCUGCUCCAGAAAAGCCAUUUCCACAAGGACUCUCCUGGAACUGGUUGGAUAAAAAUUGCUCUCCAGCUGCACAGCCUGGCAGUGUGCACCCCUUCCUGCUGGAGGGUCGCUGGGGGAGGAAGGCACCUGCGGCUCGAGAUGCUGACAGAGCACAGCACCGAGACAGUGCUGGAGGUGCUAUUGGAAAGACCCGUUCAGCAAUGUGGAAAAAGUUUCUUCAUUGUCAAAUUGACAAAGCAGCUUGGCACUGAGAUAAGGAGAAGCUGCCAUACUGACCAUUACCCGACCGGGAUCGCCGUGCUCCUGUUCCCAUCACAGGACGGACAAGCUGUGUCUUUAUGAGGAAACUCAAGCUAAGAGCAGUGUCAGAGACGUAGCAUGGACUUUUAAGAAAGAACAAGCAGUACCAUUAAGUCUUUUCUUCCAGAAGUGGUCAUUCUGGGAAAAGCCUCGUGGCAAGGGGUGCCUAUUCCGUUAACUCCCAAACAGCCAGAGGAUCUAAAGAGGGUGAAAAUUCACAGGAAUCCUCCCGCCUGGAAAGCUCCCCCUCCCCAGUGGCAGCACGGUCUGCUCUGGAUUUCUCCUGAUGAAGAUCCCGAGGUCUCAAAGCACCCGAGGAAUCUCCCAAGGAGCCUGAGGAGCUGUGUCAGGGCGCAGGACGGCCAAACUGCUGGCGUUGCAGUUUGUGACCGCCCGUUAGCAAAGCCAGAGAAAUCUCCACAGCAGCGCUGAGCACGCCUGUUGGCAAAGAGCUGCUUGCACCCACCAAGGCUGAGCAACCCAUGGCCAGAUGCAGCCAGAACACCACGAGCAAUUUCUGGGUGGUCAGCCUGCAUGUGCAAACAACGGGCCUUGGCUCAAGUUUUGGAGGGCUGGAAAAAAAGUGGCUGGGUUUGCACCUAGCUGUGAAAAUAAGUGCCUCAAAGCACAACCUGGUGAGCCUGUGUGGAAGGCGCUGGGGCGGGAGCUGUUGGCAGAGACGCCGGCUCCAGCUCCUCCUGGGAGCGUUGGAGGAAGACGGAUGUACGCGAGACCAAACAGCCUCCUGUGCACUGCGCUCAGCUGUAAGGAUCUGGGACUGAAUUAUCCAAAGGCACUUGGAACACCGAGUACGGAUUUUUUUGUAAACUGUGUUGUGUUCAUAAUGCCCUGCAAUAAACGUGUGCAAUAAUCA